AUGUGUGAUGCUACUGCAAAAGGAGUGGCAGCUACAGAACCUGAAGGGAUGCAGGGCCCUGCACCUGGGACACUCCGUGUGCACCACAGCUCAGCUGCAAACCCCACGUGGCCUGGGGGCACCCCUCCGGCUUACCAGAUGGGCAGGGAUGUGGCACAGCAAGGAACAGACUGGUCACCUCCGCAUCCCGUGGUCCCUGUGGCUCUGGUACAUUCUCCACCAGCAUCCCGGGUAGGAGCACAAGCAGCGGUCCGGUUCCAUUCCCUGGCCCUUGGCACGGUCACGGAGGUGGAUGGCACUGUCUUCAGCUGGCACAGUGGCCCACACGACCUUCCCCAAAACCCCACCCCAGCCAAUCGACCUGCAGACGUGACCCCCUCUCUCACCCGAAGCAAGGCAGAAGCAUGCAAACGUUCUCUCACCACUGCAGUGACACAUCACCCGCAAGGAAAUAGGCAUAACCCCCUCGAGUCCUACCUGGAAGCUUCAUCUCCCAGCUCUCCAAAACUGCGGGGGACAUCCAGAGGGGCUGGCUGCCCUGCGGCGCUCCUGCUCGUCACCACGCUUGGCAAAGGGUGGCCUCAGCUCAGCCCUCUGCUGCUGGGGCCUCCAGACACAUCCCUGGGCUGCAGGAGGUGCUCAGCAGCGUCACCCCAACGCCAGGGCUGGUCUGCAUCUCCCCGUGAUGGCCCCGUGCCUCCCCAUUACCCCCCUGUGCCCCAUCCCGUGCCCAUGCAGCCCCGGGGAGCUCCCCGCACCCCCCAGCUGGUGUCCUCUGGUGCACAGCCCUCGCUUGGCACACCGCUCCAGUGCCCAAUUUCUCUCUCUCCCCGCAGAAGAACCGCUGAACUAGCCCCCGACAUGAGGCCAAAGGGCUGUGGCAUUUCAGAGACAAGAGGUGACGACUACGAGAUGCCCCGAGGCCGGACGAAACGGCACCAGGGCCGCCCCGUGCUCCCCGUUCUUCUCCUCCCCGGGUCGGUUUGGGCUGGCUUCCUUGUCCUCCUCCGUCGGGACGGCGUUCGACUUUCUCGUGCCAUGUAA
rnacentral:lncRNA from 1 species